rnacentral:rRNA from 1 species
UACGGAGGGUGCAAGCGUUAAUCGGAAUUACUGGGCGUAAAGGGUGCGUAGGUGGUUUGAUAAGUUAGCUGUGAAAUUCCUGGGCUUAACCUGGGGUGGUCAGCUAAGACUGUUAGACUUUGAGUAUAGGAGAGGGUAGUGGAAUUUCCGGUGUAGCGGUGAAAUGCGUAGAGAUCGGAAGGAACACCAGUGGCGAAGGCGGCUACCUGGCCUAAUACUGACACUGAGGCACGAAAGCGUGGGGAGCAAACAGG